GCGCAUAAUGAUAUGUCAGAAUCAAAGCUGCUGUCUGCCUGUGUGUGAGUGGUUGUUUGUGUGCGUAAUUGUUAUCCAUCUCUGUUUCCACUCCAGAAUAACUCAUCCAGAGUAACCACAGCUACUGCUGGGAUUCAUUACAGUAUGAACCCUGUCACUACACACCCUCACAUCAAACAUCCACGCAGAGCAUCUUCCCUCUGUGCACAAAUGGAAAACCCCACCCUGCUCGGCCCGUGAUGGUUUGGAGCGGGACUUUACGCCAUAGGCCACAAAACAGUCCAAACACCAAAGUAAAACAGAUGCGACGGAAAACGAGGACCGCAGAGGACAGAGCGGCCAUGACGGCCACAUCAGCAGCUACAGACAGACAGGUGAACCAUCCCUUUAAGGCACGAUAUAAACAUCCAUCAACCACAUAGCACCAUGCUCAGGCCCAGCACUGCAGUUCUCCCAAGAUGCUCCUGCUGAAGUUCAAUGCAGAGCAGCUGUGUUUGAACCAUCACGACUCUUACCCUAGAACGAGACCAGGAGAUUGUUCAUGCUGUGAGGUCUAACUGCUUUCCUCCACACGUACGCACACAUUUCCACAGCCCGGCCGUAAUGUUCUGUGUCUAUUUCUGAAACUAAGCAGGGCGAUAAAAGUGAAAGAGAAGGAUCCUCGUCACUUACUGCUUUACACACAGGCUGACCUACUUACAGCUGAACUCCCUGACAAGACAGCAAGACGGAGGAGAGGUAGAGAGGAUGUCCACAUUCAGAGAAUGGAAC